AGAAAUCUUUAUUUCAAGGCUUCGGCCGAGAAAUAUUGAUGGACAGCGGCAAACGGGUGAGUAACACGUAGAUAAUAUGCCCUUUAGCGGGGGAUAACAUCGGGAAACUGGUGCUAAUACCGCAUAUAAUCACAUUCAUAUUGAUUGUGAUGAAAGGACUUCGGUUCACUAAAGGAUUAGUCUGCGGUCCAUUAGCUAGUUGGUGGGGUAAAUGCCUACCAAGGCGAUGAUGGAUAGCCGACCUGAAAGGGUGAUC
rnacentral:rRNA from 1 species